GCAGUGCAGCAGACUUUGCUAUUUUGGGUUUUUGAAACGGAGCCAUACUCUGGGAGGAUAAGAGAUAGCUGUGACUCUGUACUGACUCAUCAGUAUGAAGGAAAGCCAGGAACUGUCCUGAUGUGAAAGAGCAUGCUUUGACUCCUUGGGGCAUGUGGUGAUUUCUGCUAAGGGAAUACCUGCGUUUGAGCAACUGAUCUGAGAGCACAGACCCUCCAAGGGUAAUUUUGCACUUCUCGACCACUGCCACUUGCUGAAAGCUCUGGAAUAGGGGUUGUUGGUCACCUGGGAAGUUACAGCAUAGUGGGACUGCUGCACAACAGCAACACAGGCCCUAUCCACAGACGUAAAAAAAAGCACUGGGAAAGAGAUGUUUGAGACUGGAAAUGCCCCUGACUGUUGAAACAGAACUCUGAGAAGGUUGAUGGUGAUGGUGAUAAAAACACAGUCAAGGUUAGAUCUCUGGGCACUACUGCAGUGAAUUAUACAAACAAGAAUAAUAACCA
rnacentral:lncRNA from 1 species